AUUGAACGCUGGCGGCAUGCCUUACACAUGCAAGUCGAACGGUAACGGGUCCUUCGGGAUGCCGACGAGUGGCGAACGGGUGAGUAAUAUAUCGGAACGUGCCCAGUAGUGGGGGAUAACUGCUCGAAAGAGCAGCUAAUACCGCAUACGACCUGAGGGUGAAAGGGGGGGAUCGCAAGACCUCUUGCUAUUGGAGCGGCCGAUAUCAGAUUAGCUAGUUGGUGGGGUAAAGGCCUACCAAGGCAACGAUCUGUAGUUGGUCUGAGAGGACGACCAGCCACACUGGGACUGAGACACGGCCCAGACUCCUAUGGGAGGCAGCAGUGGGGAAUUUUGGACAAUGGGCGCAAGCCUGAUCCAGCAAUGCCGCGUGCAGGAAGAAGGCCUUCGGGUUGUAAACUGCUUUUGUCAGGGAAGAAAUCUUCUGGGCUAAUACCCCGGGAGGAUGACGGUACUUGAAGAAUAAGCACCGGCUAACUACGUGCCAGCCGCCGCCGUAA
rnacentral:rRNA from 1 species